UUUGCUUCCCCAGACACUGGUGAGAGUACAUCUUGCCUCAUCUCCUUGGAUGGCUACCUUGGAGAACUGGUCUACCCCCAAAGUCCACUGCUGUGAGCUCCACCAUGAGCCUGGGCACCAGCUUUAGAGGAAGAAAAAACUGGCUUGGAAUUCCAUACACACCACUGGUUUACUGUGUGAACUUAGAGCCCUUCAUGGCUGCUGGGAUAGACAUGGAUCCACCUGUAGCAGACUAUCCAGCAAGAUAAUGGUUGAGAGAGAACCAGGGAUGGGAUUGUGCCAGCUGGGAGUUCAUUCUAGAGUUGUGUGGAUGGUCAUUGUAUUUGGUCUAGCUGACAAACUCCUAUACGCCCUCCAAGAAUCCUCUCCUAAUUCUCCAAGAAAGAAUUUGUCUUUCAUCCCCGGAGUUUCCAGACUCUUGGAGAAAGGAAAGUGGAUGUGUCAGGCAUGGCCUCCUGUUUGCACUCCCAUCGCUGCGGAGCGUUCAGACCGAAGAGAAGCGAGACACGCUCACUUCUCUACUGACUGGGCUUCCUCAGGAGUCUCACAGGCUGGACCGGCAUCCGUAGGAAGGGCUGAGGUAAGACCU